ensembl:snoRNA LOC120095758 small nucleolar RNA SNORA17
CCCACCUCUAAUGGCAUUGCAGGUGUGGCUGCUGUGCACAUGAGUGUAUAUAGAUGGCAGAAAGGCUACGUUUAUACACAGUGGUCUGACCUGGGAACAUCUGAAUUAUUAGUUGCUUAACAUU